GACGAACGCUGGCGGCGUGCUUAACACAUGCAAGUCGAGCGGUAAGGCCCUUUCGGGGGUACACGAGCGGCGAACGGGUGAGUAACACGUGGGUGACCUGCCCUCAGCUCUGGGAUAAGCCUGGGAAACCGGGUCUAAUACUGGAUAUGACUCCAUGACGCAUGUUGUGGGGUGGAAAGCCUUGUGCGGCUGAGGAUGGGCCCGCGGCCUAUCAGCUUGUUGGUGGGGUGAUGGCCUACCAAGGCGACGACGGGUAGCCGGCCUGAGAGGGCGACCGGCCACACUGGGACUGAGACACGGCCCAGACUCCUACGGGAGGCAGCAGUAGGGAAUCUUGCGCAAUGGGCGAAAGCCUGACGCAGCCAUGCCGCGUGAAUGAUGAAGGUCUUAGGAUUGUAAAAUUCUUUCAGCGGGGACGAUAAUGACGGUACCCGCAGAAGAAGCCCCGGCUAACUUCGUG
rnacentral:rRNA from 1 species